GUCUCAGUUCGGAUUGGAGUCUGCAACCCGACUCCAUGAAGCUGGAUUCGCUAGUAAUCGCGCAUCAGCCACGGCGCGGUGAAUACGUUCCCGGGCCUUGUACACACCGCCCGUCAAGCCAUGGAAGCCGGGGGUGCCUGAAGUGCGCUGCCGCGAGGAGCGCCCUAGGGUAAAACCGGUGACUGGGGCUAAGUCGUAACAAGGUAGC
rnacentral:rRNA from 1 species